rnacentral:rRNA from 1 species
UCCGUAGGUGAACCUGCGGAGGGAUCAUUACAGAGUCGCAACACUCCGUAAACCAUUGUGAACGUUACCUUAACCGUUGCUUCGGCGGGCGGCGCCCGGGCCUCACCGCCCGCGGCGCCCCCCGGCCCCCCGUGGGCGCCCGCCGGAGGUACACCAAACUCUUGCAUUGUAUGGCCUCUCUGAGUAUUCUGUACUGAAUAAGUCAAAACUUUCAACAACGGAUCUCUUGGUUCUGGCAUCGAUGAAGAACGCAGCGAAAUGCGAUAAGUAAUGUGAAUUGCAGAAUUCAGUGAAUCAUCGAAUCUUUGAACGCACAUUGCGCCCGCCAGUAUUCUGGCGGGCAUGCCUGUUCGAGCGUCAUUUCAACCAUCAAGCCCCCGGGCUUGUGUUGGGGACCUGCGGCUGCCGCAGGCCCCGAAAACCAGUGGCGGGCUCGCUGUCACCCCGAGCGUAGUAGUUUACACCUCGCCCAGGGCGUGCCGCGGGUUUCCCGGCCGUUAAACCCCCCAUACCACAAGGUUGACCUCGGACCAGGUAGGAAGACCCGCUGAACUUAAGCAUAUCAAUAAGCGGAGG